UUUGGUUUAUCCUACCAGUAGUCAUAUGCUUGUCUCAAAGAUUAAGCCAUGCAUGUGUAAGUAUGAACUAAUUGAGACUGCGAAACUACAAAUGACUCAUGAAAUCUACAACUCAGAUAAUCGUAGUAAUUCUAGAGCAAAUACGUGCAAUAAACCCCAAACUUUUUGAAAGGGAUGCAUUUAUUAGAUAAAAGCUCGACGUGAGCUCUACCCAUUGCUUUGAUGAUUCAUGAUAACUCGACAAAUUACACAACCAUCUUGUCGAUGAUGCAUCAUUCAAAUUUCUGCCCUAUCAACUUUCGAUGGUAGGAUAGUGGCCUACUAUGGUAAUGACCGGAUACGAAGAAGUAAGGUUCAAUUCUUGAGAGGGAGCCUGAGAAACAGCUAGCAUAUCCAAGAAAGGCAGCAGAUGUGCAAAUUACCCAAUCCUGACAUCGGGAGGUAGUGAUAAUAAAUAACAAUAUUGGACUCUUCGAGUCUGGUAAUUGGAAUGAGUACAAUCUAAAUCCCUUAACGAAGAUCAAUUAGAGGGCAAGUCUGGUUCCAACAGCCGCGAUAAUUCAAGCUCCAAUAGUGUAUAUUUAAGUUGUUGUAGUUAAAAAGCUCGUAGUUGGACCUUGGGUUGGGUCGAUUGGUCUGCCUAUGGUGAGCACCAAUCGACUUAUCCCUUUUGCCGACGAUGCGCUCCUGGCCUUAACUUGUCGUGUCGUGCCUCCGACGUUACUUUGAAAAAAUUAGAGUGCUCAAAGCAAGUCUAAGCUCUGUAUACAUUAGCAUGGGAUAACAUCAUAGGAUUUUGAUCCUAUUCUAUUGGCUUUCAGAAUCGAAGUAAUAACUAACAAGGACAGUCGGCGACAUUCGUAUUUCAUAGUCAGAGAUGAAAUUCUUAGAUUUUUUAUGAAAGACGAACAACAGUAAAAGCAUUUGUCAAUGAUAUUUUCAUUAAUCAAGAACGAAGGUUGGGGGCUCGAAGACGAUCAUAUUGUUCGAAUUUAUGUCCUAAAACUCGUAGUUUGUAGUUAAAACUAUAUUCUAUCUAAUAAAGUGUUUAUUGAGGAUUUAUUAGUGAAAAUAGAAUACUAUAAUCUUUAAUCCAAUAAAUUAAAGUCUAGAGGCUAUCUAGUGUAGACUUAAACAUUAUGUAAAGACAUAAACUUGGAUCAAGUUCAAGUAUAUAGCCUAAACGGUCUAUAGUGAAUGAAUAAGGUGGGACGCCUUAUUCUGGAAACACUAUGAAUGCGGCCCGCUUUGUAGUUAGUACAAACGAUGUGAUCCUAAGUCGUUCAUGUAGAGACAUGAGAGUGGGGGACAUCCUAUGUAAAGAGUUUGCAUAAGACUGGAACCAUGAAGUAGUCACUUUUAAGUUAUAACACCGUUGACUAUAUAGACUGACUAUUUCGAUUAUGAUGACCUAGGUAACUUAAUCUUAAUCCUGACCUAACUAUGAACUUCUGUUCAAAUGAUAUUAUUCUUAGAUCUGCAUAGGUGAGGGCAACUCAACGGUGUUGGCCCAAUAAGCCUCUCAUUUUAGGGGUAAGACCAAAUGAAUAGCUAGGGACAUAGGGUGCAAGACGUAAUUCACUCAUACCCACUUUAGGAUUAGUAGAUAGGUUG
rnacentral:rRNA from 1 species